CAGCGCACAAGCAGUCACAUUGUGGAUGCUAAAAAGCAGUGCACGCUGAAUGCAAGCAGAGCAUAACCGCCUAUGUGGAUUGUGCGCAUAAAUUGAAAAAUCGCUGUCUUUCCUCUAGUAAUGCAAUUAAACAAGGAAAUGAUGAAUCCAUAGCUCACUCAGUGCUGUUAGCUUUGUGUACUUAAAGCAAACACACGGAGGAACACUUGCCGAAAAUCAAUCAAACGACGAGCGAACGCAAUAUGGCUCAAAUUUCAUAACAUUGGCUUAAAGAACGCUUUAAAUAUUGCUUACAAAAUACUCUCAAUGUUAAUGCACAAGCAAAGCAAUGCUGAGCAAACAAUUGAAGUGCUUUUUGAUAAACCAUUAAAGCGAAUCGAAUACCAACAAAAUCGACAACAGAGCUGACAGCGAGGAAGACGAGCCAAUGUCUCCUGCCGAGUGGUGGUGAUAAUCGCAUCAGCAGUGCCAACAAAAAAAUGAGCUCUGCCAUUCAGUGAAUGUGCUGGGACAAAGGCGAACGCGUGGCAAGCAUCAUUAUACUAAUUACUCGAGUAUUAUUGAAAUGCAUUCAAUUGAAAGCAUUAUAACGAGCAUUCCCCGCACUCAACCCUCAACCCUCCAACCA
rnacentral:sRNA from 1 species